GACGAACGCUGGCGGCGUGCUUAACACAUGCAAGUCGAACGGAAAGGCCCUGCUUUUGUGGGGUGCUCGAGUGACGAACGGGUGAGUAACACGUGAGUAACCUGCCCUUGACUUUGGGAUAACUUCAGGAAACUGGGGCUAAUACCGGAUAGGAGCUCCUGCUGCAUGGUGGGGGUUGGAAAGUUUCGGCGGUUGGGGAUGGACUCGCGGCUUAUCAGCUUGUUGGUGGGGUAGUGGCUUACCAAGGCUUUGACGGGUAGCCGGCCUGAGAGGGUGACCGGCCACAUUGGGACUGAGAUACGGCCCAGACUCCUACGGGAGGCAGCAGUGGGGAAUAUUGCACAAUGGGCGGAAGCCUGAUGCAGCAACGCCGCGUGCGGGAUGACGGCCUUCGGGUUGUAAACCGCUUUCGCCUGUGACGAAGCGUGAGUGACGGUAAUGGGUAAAGAAGCACCGGCUAACUACGUGCCAGCAGCCGCGGUGAUACGUAGGGUGCGAGCGUUGUCCGGAUUUAUUGGGCGUAAAGGGCUCGUAGGUGGUUGAUCGCGUCGGAAGUGUAAUCUUGGGGCUUAACCCUGAGCGUGCUUUCGAUACGGGUUGACUUGAGGAAGGUAGGGGAGAAUGGAAUUCCUGGUGGAGCGGUGGAAUGCGCAGAUAUCAGGAGGAACACCAGUGGCGAAGGCGGUUCUCUGGGCCUUUCCUGACGCUGAGGAGCGAAAGCGUGGGGAGCGAACAGGCUUAGAUACCCUGGUAGUCCACGCUGUAAACGGUGGGUACUAGGUGUGGGGUCCAUUCCACGGGUUCCGUGCCGUAGCUAACGCUUUAAGUACCCCGCCUGGGGAGUACGGCCGCAAGGCUAAAACUCAAAGGAAUUGACGGGGCCCCGCACAAGCGGCGGAGCAUGCGGAUUAAUUCGAUGCAACGCGUAGAACCUUACCUGGGUUUGACAUGGAUCGGGAGUGCUCAGAGAUGGGUGUGCCUCUUUUGGGGUCGGUUCACAGGUGGUGCAUGGCUGUCGUCAGCUCGUGUCGUGAGAUGUUGGGUUAAGUCCCGCAACGAGCGCAACCCUUGUUCACUGUUGCCAGCACGUUAUGGUGGGGACUCAGUGGAGACCGCCGGGGUCAACUCGGAGGAAGGUGGGGAUGACGUCAAGUCAUCAUGCCCCUUAUGUCCAGGGCUUCACGCAUGCUACAAUGGCUGGUACAGAGAGUGGCGAGCCUGUGAGGGUGAGCGAAUCUCGGAAAGCCGGUCUCAGUUCGGAUUGGGGUCUGCAACUCGACCUCAUGAAGUCGGAGUCGCUAGUAAUCGCAGAUCAGCAACGCUGCGGUGAAUACGUUCCCGGGGCU
rnacentral:rRNA from 1 species